CAGCAGCGCCUCAUCACGCGCGGCUCGUGAUUGCCGGCUCCAUUCUCUUCUGUAACGGAUCUUCGUCUCGAUGAUCUACGCUCUCUGCGUCCCUUGCCGAACUGACAGCUAAACCUAGCAGCAUUCUGACGAUCAUGGAGAUGAGCGACGUGUCUGCUGUCGAAGCUUCCACAGUGAAAUCGGAGACGUCAUCAA